rnacentral:rRNA from 1 species
GACGAACGCUGGCGGCGUGCUUAACACAUGCAAGUCGAACGGAAAGGCCCUGCUUUUGUGGGGUGCUCGAGUGGCGAACGGGUGAGUAACACGUGAGUAACCUGCCCUUGACUUUGGGAUAACUUCAGGAAACUGGGGCUAAUACCCGAUAGGAGCUCCUGCUGCAUGGUGGGGGUUGGAAAGUUUCGGCGGUUGUGGAUGGACUCGCGGCUUAUCAGCUGGUUGGUGGGGUAGUGGCUUACCAAGGCUUUGACGGGUAGCCGGCCUGAGAGGGUGACCGGCCACAAUGGGACUGAGAUACGGCCCAGACUCCUACGGGAGGCAGCAGUGGGGAAUAUUGCACAAUGGGCGGAAGCCUGAUGCAGCAACGCCGCGUGCGGGAUGACGGCCUUCGGGUUGUAAACCGCUUUCGCCUGUGACGAAGCGUGAGUGACGGUAAUGGGUAAAGAAGCACCGGCUAACUACGUG